UGCCACAGUUCCAGGUGAAGUUUCUAC
rnacentral:piRNA from 1 species